rnacentral:rRNA from 1 species
GACGAACGCUGGCGGCGUGCUUAACACAUGCAAGUCGAACGGAAAGGCCCUGCUUGCAGGGUACUCGAGUGGCGAACGGGUGAGUAACACGUGGGUGAUCUGCCCUGCACUUCGGGAUAAGCCUGGGAAACUGGGUCUAAUACCGGAUAGGAGCCAUUUUUAGUGUGAUGGUUGGAAAGUUUUUUCGGUGUAGGAUGAGCUCGCGGCCUAUCAGCUUGUUGGUGGGGUAAUAGCCUACCAAGGCGGCGACGGGUAGCCGGCCUGAGAGGGUGGACGGCCACAUUGGGACUGAGAUACGGCCCAGACGCCUACGGGAGGCAGCAGUGGGGAAUAUUGCACAAUGGGCGCAAGCCUGAUGCAGCGACGCCGCGUGGGGGAUGACGGCCUUCGGGUUGUAAACUCCUUUCGCUAGGGACGAAGCUUUUUGUGACGGUACCUAGAGAAGAAGCACCGGCUAACUACGUG